GACGAACGCUGGCGGCGUGCUUAACACAUGCAAGUCGAACGGAAAGGCCCUGCUUUUGUGGGGUGCUCGAGUGGCGAACGGGUGAGUAGCACGUGAGUAACCUGCCCUUGACUUUGGGAUAACUUCGGGAAACUGGGGCUAAUACCGGAUAGGAGCUCCUGCUGCAUGGUGGGGGUUGGAAAGUUUCGGCGGUUGGGGAUGGACUCGCGGCUUAUCAGCUUGUUGGUGGGGUAGUGGCUUACCAAGGCUUUGACGGGUAGCCGGCCUGAGAGGGUGACCGGCCACAUUGGGACUGAGAUACGGCCCAGACUCCUACGGGAGGCAGCAGUGGGGAAUAUUGCACAAUGGGCGGAAGCCUGAUGCAGCAACGCCGCGUGCGGGAUGACGGCCUUCGGGUUGUAAACCGCUUUCGCCUGUGACGAAGCGUGAGUGACGGUAAUGGGUAAAGAAGCACCGGCUAACUACGUG
rnacentral:rRNA from 1 species